rnacentral:pre_miRNA from 1 species
AGUGGGAUAGCUGGGUCAAAUGGCAGUUCCAUUUCAAGUUUUCUGAGGAAUCUCCAUACUGCUUUCCAUAAUGGUUGCACCAAAUUGUAGUUCCACCAGCAAU